GAUGCAAACUUGAUUGAAAUCCCGGUGGAGAUGGAGACGCCAGAGCAUCACUAUUAUCAUGUAUGCAUCCUGUUAUAAUUUGGGCCUCCCAUGUUCUUCCCCCAAAAGGCCUUAUUGAAGGGAGGAGAGAACCCAACUUAUAUACAAGUUAUCCUUGCAUCAUUUAACCAAUGUGAGACUUUGUCCAACACCCCCUCGAACUUAUGGAUUGGGUAUCUCUGUCCAAGGCCCAACGAGUGGACUUCUUACCGAGGACGAGUGCACACCGGCCUGCUCCGAUACCAUGUUAUACUUUGGUUAUGCAAAGUAUCUUCAAAGAUUAGAGAAGUAGAAGGUCAAGAAGACGAAGAAAGUUUAGAGAACAUGGAGGAAGAAGAAGAAUCUGUAAAUCUCAUUAAUGAAAGUUAUCCUUGCAUCAUUUAACCGAUGUGGGACUUUUUCCAACACAUCCUAAGAUGCGUUUGUAUUCCCAUGCUCUUUUGUGAUUUAUGACGGUGAUUUCUAUUUACAAUCAAGUCUUACAUGCACUUUAUCUUUUGUAGCUUGCUUUAUUCACAACUAGAGAAGUAGAUGCCUUGGAAGAGCUAACUUGGGAUUAUGGUGUUGGCUUCGAUGACCAUGGCCUUCCUGGAAAGUCAUUCCAAUGCCAAUGUGGCAGCACGUUCUGUAGGAACAUAAAGCGUUCAAGCAAUAAUGAUGGUGUCAUUGUGAAUUCUAAAGGAGAAAUGAAAGGUGUUCCCAACCUUUUUACUGAAGCUAUAUUCUAAUUGUUUGGCACCAUGUACUUGUGAAUUCUUUUGUAUUAUUUUCAGUGAAUUGUAUUGCUGCAAUGGAAUUAUUACUGUCAUUUGGUCUGAGUUGUGUUGUUAUGAGCGUAUGAAGAAAUGGGUCCUUAACUUGAGCACCUAAGAAUGAUGCAUGGUCAAACACUUGUUUUUCUGCGUAUGGAUAACACAAACUUCAUCAAGAAAUUUUAUUAUUUCUUCACCUUUAUUAGUGAAAGCUAGAAUUUAUUGGAUUAUUUUCUUUCCUAAUGAUUCACUAUGAGAAUGCGUGGAGAAUGUAGUUUCUAUAAGUAGCUAUACAUGGCAGGUUUAGGUAAUAGCUGAUAGCCAAAUUCCCGUAUCAAAAAAUGAUUUGAUCUUGCUUAUUGCAUUGUGUUAUGUUAAUUCUUUCUUUGGCUCUGGCAUACACUCUUAUAUACCUUGUGACCGAAGUGUGAGCUCUCUCCAGGUUAAUUAUUCAGAGUUUGUAAACAUUUUACACAAUAUAAUGAAGUAUGUUCUUUCGGAUUACUUACUUGAGAAGUGACUCUGAUGCCUGGUUAUGGUUUCAAACUGUUUGACGCUUUCCUAACUGUAGGUUCUGCUAUUACUUAUUGGUCCCAUUGGAAAGGAGUGUGAUGUUCUUUGGCCUAGAAUUGCAUGUGCUGCCAAUGCUAUUGACGUAAGGGUCAAUUUUGAGUGCUUGUGCACUUAGUUUUGUAGGCAACCAUGGAUGGUAGCUUUGUUAGCGACAGA